rnacentral:rRNA from 1 species
CAGCAGCCGCGGUAAAACCAGCACCUCGAGUGGUCAGGAGGUUUAUUGGGCCUAAAGCAUCCGUAGCCGGUUGCAUAAGUUUUCGGUUAAAUCUAUGCGCUUAACGUAUAGGCCGCCGAAAAUACUGUGCAGCUAGGGAGUGGGAGAGGUACACGGUACUCGAUAGGAAGGGGUAAAAUCCUUUGAUCUAUUGAUGACCACCUGUGGCGAAGGCGGUGUACCAGAACACGUUCGACGGUGAGGGAUGAAAGCUGGGGGAGCAAACCGGAUUAGAUACCCGUGUAGUCCCUGUCUCUUAUAC